GCUUGUUCUACUACUUGUUGAAUCAUACACAAAGGCACGUUUUAUAGCACCGAGUUACCAAAUGCGUUUUCGUGCUAUCAAUGUACUAUCAACUCAUAGUAACAACUCAUAUCUCUAGGUUUGAAGAAUAUAAGAUAUUAUCGUCUCAUGAUCACUCGUGAUAAAGUCCAUGAAGUGAUUCCAAUAGGAGCGGGUUGAAUCCAAUACUCAAAACUUAUGAGCACUCAUGAUUGUUGUAGCCCUNUUAUCGUCUCAUGAUCACUCGUGAUAAAAUCCAUGAAGUGAUUCAAAUGAGCGCGGGUUGAAUCCAAUACUCAGAACUUAUGAGCACUCAUGAGUGUUGUAGCACAACUUUGUCCACCAACUUGGACCUCUACAAGCC
rnacentral:lncRNA from 1 species